GGGUGCCAUUGCCUUCUCCCCUUUUUGGCUGAAAGAAUGCCAAACUCUUCUUUCAUUCAACAAAUGUAUCUUGUGGGGAGGUACAGAUUAAGAGUUUGGGAUUAAAAUAUACAUACUACUAUAAAUAAAAUGUGGCUUCCCAGCUGGUGCUAGUGGUCAAGAGUCCACUUGCCAAUGUAGGAGACACAGGAGACCCGGGUUAAAUCUCUGAGUUGGGAAGAUCCCAUGGACAGAUGAGCUUGGCGGGCUAUAGUCCAUGGGGUCACAAAGAGUCAGACAUGACUGAGCUACUGAGCACAACCAACAAGGACCUACUGAAGAGGACAGGGAACUAUAUGCAAUGUCUUUUAAUAACCUAUGAUGGAAAAAAAUCUAAAAAAGAAUACAUAUACCCACGACUGAUCAUCUGAGCCCAUACAUAUAUAGACAUAUAACUGAAUCAUUUUGCUGUUCUUCUGAAACUAAUACAACAUUGUAAAUCAACUCUACAUCAACACAAAUGUUAAUUAAAAUAAAAAUUAAAACACUGCUAUGAAAACAAAAACCAAAAAAAAGCACAAGUGUAUCCUGAGCAUUUAUUGUGUGUCAAGCUCUGUGCUAGGUAUUAACAAGAACAAAAACCACCUUUGUCUCCUCUUGGGGUUCUGGAGGUGAGAUAAAGGAGAUAGAUGUUUUCUUUAUUUUCUUUCGUUUUUUCUGUACUGAGACGUAGUUGCAGCAUGUGGGAUCUAAUUUCCUGACCAGGGAUUGAACCCCAGCCCCCUGAUUUGGGAAUGAAGAGUCUUAGCCACUGGACUACAAGGGAAGUCCCAGGAGAUAGAUAUUGAAUUCAUUACACAAAUAAUUACAUAGUUAAUGAUUACAAUAUGGGUCACAUAGGAAAAUGAAAGCUUGCAAUGGUGGGAAACAGUAUAGUUCGUGGGCUGUGAUUCAGGAGGACUUCUGAGGAAGCCUAUUAGUCAGAAGAGGCUGACGUUAGUCAGAAAAGGUCAAAUUUCCCUGCAGUAACAAACAAGUUCAAAGUUCAGUAGUUCAACUCAACCGAAGUUUACUUCUCCCUCGUGUUACUCAUUGUAC
ensembl:lncRNA